ACGAACGCUGGCGGCGUGCCUAAUCCAUGCAAGUUGAGCGAUGAAGAUUGGUGCUUGCACCAAUUUGAAGAGCAGCGAACGGGUGAGUAACGCGUGGGGAAUCUGCCUUUGAGCGGGGGACAACAUUUGGAAACGAAUGCUAAUACCGCAUAACAACUUUAAACAUAAGUUUUAAGUUUGAAAGAUGCAAUUGCAUCACUCAAAGAUGAUCCCGCGUUGUAUUAGCUAGUUGGUGAGGUAAAGGCUCACCAAGGCGAUGAUACAUAGCCGACCUGAGAGGGUGAUCGGCCACAUUGGGACUGAGACACGGCCCAAACUCCUACGGGAGGCAGCAGUAGGGAAUCUUCGGCAAUGGACGAAAGUCUGACCGAGCAACGCCGCGUGAGUGAAGAAGGUUUUCGGAUCGUAAAACUCUGUUGGUAGAGAAGAACGUUGGUGAGAGUGGAAAGCUCAUCAAGUGACGGUAACUACCCAGAAAGGGACGGCUAACUACGUG
rnacentral:rRNA from 1 species